AGGGAUCAUUACAGAGCGCUUCUGCCUCUAAAACCACUGUGAACAUACCCGUACCGUUGCUUCGGCGGGCGGCCCCAGGGGGGGUCGCGGCCUGCGAAGGCGCCCGCCGGGGUCACACAACCCUCUGUUUUUUUUAAGGCCUCUCUGAGUAACAUACUAAAUAAGUCAAAACUUUCAACAACGGAUCUCUUGGUUCUGGCAUCGAUGAAGAACGCAGCGAAAUGCGAUAAGUAAUGUGAAUUGCAGAAUUCAGUGAAUCAUCGAAUCUUUGAACGCACAUUGCGCCCGCUAGUAUUCUAGCGGGCAUGCCUGUUCGAGCGUCAUUUCCACCCCUCAAGCACCGCUUGGCGUUGGGGCCCUACGGCUGCCGUAGGCCCUGAAAAAUAGUGGCGGGCUCGCUGUGGUUCCGAGCGUAGUAGCGUACCUCGCUCAGGGCCCACAGCGGGUGCUAGCCGUUAAACCCCGCACUUUUUACCAAGGUUGACCUCGGAUCAGGUAGGAAUACCCGCUGAACUUAA
rnacentral:rRNA from 1 species